UGCGAAGGGGGCUAGCGUUGUUCGGAAUUACUGGGCGUAAAGCGCGCGCAGGCGGUCUUCCAAGUCAGUGGUGAAAGCCCGGAGCUCAACUCCGGAACUGCCAUUGAAACUGUAAGACUUGAGGAUGAGAGAGGUGAGUGGAAUUCCCAGUGUAGAGGUGAAAUUCGUAGAUAUUGGGAAGAACACCGGUGGCGAAGGCGGCUCACUGGCUCAUAUCUGACGCUCAGGCGCGACAGCGUGGGGAUCAAACAGG
rnacentral:rRNA from 1 species